rnacentral:rRNA from 1 species
GUCUGUGGCUAUGCCACCCUAAACAAGCCCGAUGUCUGAUCUUAGAAGCUAAGCAGGGUUGGGCCUGGUUAGUACUUGAAUGGAGACUACCUAGGAAGACCAGAUGCUGUAGGCA